rnacentral:rRNA from 1 species
CGGGUGAGUAAUGCUUGGGAAUCUGCCCAAUAGUGGGGGAUAACGUGUGGAAACGCACGCUAAUACCGCAUACGUCCUACGGGAGAAAGCAGGGGACCUUCGGGCCUUGCGCUAUUAGAUGAGCCCAAGUCGGAUUAGCUAGUUGGUGGGGUAAUGGCUCACCAAGGCUACGAUCCGUAGCUGGUCUGAGAGGAUGAUCAGCCACACUGGGACUGAGACACGGCCCAGACUCC